GCGUGGGUUUUCUCCAGGUGCUUCGGUUUCCUCCCACACUCCAAAGACGUGCAGGAUUGUAGGUGGAUUGACUUGGUACAAUUGCCAAAUUGUCCCUAGAGUGUGCAGGAGGAG